rnacentral:sRNA from 1 species
GCCACUUAUUCCAUCAAAAUUGAGGGGAAACCAUACACUUUCCUGCUUGAAAAACAGUCAUUUUUACACCCACAUUUCCUGGUGUAUUUAUACAAUGAAUCAGGAACAUUGUAUGCAGAUUCUUCAUUUUCAAAGGGUCAUUGCUUUUACCAAGGAUAUGCUGCAGACAUUCCAAAAUCAGUUGUGGCACUACGCACCUGUUCUGGACUCAGGGGAUUACUGCAGUUAGAUAAUAUCAGUUAUGGUAUUGAACCACUGGAAUCUUCACCUACAUAUGAGCAUGUAGUUUAUCGAAUUAAAAAUGAUGCUAUUGGUCAUUCCUCCUUUCAAGAAAAUUAUCCUGUGGCUCAAUAUACAGAUCAGUCCUACAGGAUUCUUGUCAAAUCAGACACAAAUUCAGGUGCCAUGCUAUCGAAAAGAACUCUGAAAAUACAAAUCAUUAUGGAUAAAGCAAUG